rnacentral:rRNA from 1 species
AAGUAAGUCGUACAAGGUUUCCGUAGGUGAACCUGCGGAAGGAUCAUUA